AAGGAAUCAGGAGGCAGAGCACAUGGUUAAAGCAUGAGAUGUGAAACCAGGAAGAACCAGGUCUGAAUCUUAGCUCCACCAGUGGUAGCUCCAAACCUUAGUCCUUUCUGAGCCUGCUUCUUCAACCCUAAGGGAACACUACACUUCCUUAAAAAUUAAGAGUGUGUGCUACACUGCUUUACUAGAGCAAGACCAAAAGCAGCUUCAAUUAUGGUACAACUGUGUGAAGACACAAUGCAAAACCACUCAAGAAUGCUCACUCAAAUGGAUCUUUUACGAUGGAAUUCGGAAACGGGACCCAGAAAGUUGUUUCCUGCAAGUGGCUGGAACAACACAAGCAAUAACUGCAGAUUACUAACAAGAUCAAAGAUGGUAGUAUAUCUCUGGUUUAUAGAAGAAAUUUACAUUUCUCUAGAAGCUUUUGAUAAACUUAACAAUUCAAAAGAAA
rnacentral:antisense_RNA from 1 species